rnacentral:snoRNA from 1 species
ACCUGCUAGUCAUGCUGACCACAGCCACCCAGGCAUGGCUGACGGGGCUGCCAAGGUACACCAUCAAUAGUUGGUCCGAAUUGAAGGGGUAGUU